rnacentral:rRNA from 1 species
GACGAACGCUGGCGGCGUGCUUAACACAUGCAAGUCGAACGGUGAAGCGCCUUCCUUUUUGGUGGGUGUGGAUGAGUGGCGAACGGGUGAGUAACACGUGAGUAACCUGCCCCCUUCUUCUGGAUAACCGCAUGAAAGUGUGGCUAAUACGGGAUAUUCUGGGUCUGUCGCAUGAUGGGUCUGGGAAAGAUAUUGUUUCGGUGGGGGAUGGGCUCGCGGCCUAUCAGCUUGUUGGUGGGGUGAUGGCCUACCAAGGCGGUGACGGGUAGCCGGCCUGAGAGGGUGGACGGUCACACGGGGACUGAGACACGGCCCAGACUGCUACGGGAGGCAGCAGUGGGGAAUAUUGCACAAUGGGCGCAAGCCUGAUGCAGCGACGCCGCGUGAGGGAUGGAGGCCUUCGGGUUGUGAACCUCUUUCGCCAGUGAAGCAGGCCUGCCUCGUUUGUGGGUGGGUUGACGGUAGCUGGAUAAGAAGCGCCGGCUAACUACGU